GGACUCUGUGCGCGUGCAUAUCAAUAAGCGGAGGAAAAGAAACUAACAAGGAUUCCCUUAGUAACGGCGAGUGAAGCGGGAAGAGCUCAAAUUUGAAAUCUUCAAGGGUUCUACCUUUACGAAUUGUAGUUUAUAGGAAGUGUUUUCUGUUAGUAGAGUGGCAAAAGUUCUUUGGAAUAGGACAUCAUAGAGGGUGAGAAUCCCGUAUUUGGUCAUUCUUUCUAGCUUUGUGAUACACUUUCAACGAGUCGGAUUGUUUGGGAAUGCAGUCCAAAAUGGGUGGUAAAUUUCAUCUAAAGCUAAAUAUUGGCGAGAGACCGAUAGCGAACAAGUACCGUGAGGGAAAGAUGAAAAGAACUUUGAAAAGAGAGUUAAACAGUACGUGAAAUUGUCAAAAGGGAAGCGUUUGACACCAGUGUUGUUUUUCCGAAAAUCAAUUACGAAUGUUUUGUUUUUGAGAAGUUAUGACUUCAUCGGCUUGCUUCUCUCUUUAUGAAACUUUCUUAAUGCACUUUUCGGUUAACAAGUCAACAUCAAUUUCUUUUGUUGUAAAAGGGUAUGAGGAAGGUGGCUUUCUUUUCGGAGAAAGUGUUUAUAGCCUUGUGCCUCUGCAAUCGGAGAGAUUGAGGUCUGCAGCGUAGAUCCUUCGGGGUUAGAUACGUUUGUGCUAAGUUAUAGCUUUUCAUAGACAACUUGUUGACUAUGUUUAGUCUUGUAGCUUACUCGCUGACGCUAUUUUACCUACGCUUAGGAUGUUGAUCUGUAGUGCGUGCGC
rnacentral:rRNA from 1 species